rnacentral:rRNA from 1 species
GACGAACGCUGGCGGCGUGCUUAACACAUGCAAGUCGAACGGAAAGGCCCUGCCUUUGUGGGGUGCUCGAGUGGCGAACGGGUGAGUAACACGUGAGUAACCUGCCCUUGACUUUGGGAUAACUUCAGGAAACUGGGGCUAAUACCGGAUAGGAGCUCCUGCUGCAUGGUGGGGGUUGGAAAGUUUCGGCGGUUGGGGAUGGACUCGCGGCUUAUCGGCUUGUUGGUGGGGUAGUGGCUUACCAAGGCUUUGACCGGUAGCCUGGCUGAGAGGGUGACCGGCCACAUUGGGACUGGACUGCGGCCCAGACUCCUCCGGGACGCAGCGGUGGGGAAUAUUGCACUAUGGGCGGAACCCUGAUGCAGCACCGCCGCGUGCGGGAUGACGGCCUUCGGGUUGUAAACCGCUUCCGCCUGUGACGAAGUGUGAGUGACGGUAAUGGGUAAAGAAGCACCGGCUAACUACGUG